GGAUGAACGCUAGCUACAGGCUUAACACAUGCAAGUCGAGGGGCAGCAUAUCGAAAGCUUGCUUUGAUGAUGGCGACCGGCGCACGGGUGAGUAACGCGUAUCCAACCUUCCCUAUACUAGAGGAUAGCCCGGCGAAAGUCGGAUUAAUACUCUAUGUUCUUCGUAGAAGACAUCUGGAAUGAAGCAAAGGUUUACCGGUAUAGGAUGGGGAUGCGUCUGAUUAGGUUGUUGGCGGGGUAACGGCCCACCAAGCCCACGAUCAGUAGGGUUCUGAGAGGAAGGUCCCCCACAUUGGAGCUGAGACACGGUCCAAACUCCUACGGGAGGCAGCAGUGAGGAAUAUUGGUCAAUGGACGAGAGUCUGAACCAGCCAAGUAGCGUGCAGGAUGACGGCCCUAUGGGUUGUAAACUGCUUUUAUACAGGGAUAAAGUGACGUACGUGUACGUUUUUGUAGGUACUGUAUGAAUAAGGACCGGCUAAUUCCGUGCCAGCAGCGGC
rnacentral:rRNA from 1 species